CACGCCGUAAACGAUGAGCACUAGGUGUCGGGGUCGCAAGACUUCGGUGCCGCAGCUAACGCAUUAAGUGCUCCGCCUGGGGAGUACGCACGCAAGUGUGAAACUCAAAGGAAUUGACGGGGACCCGCACAAGCAGCGGAGCAUGUGGUUUAAUUCGAAGCAACGCGAAGAACCUUACCAGAACUUGACAUCCUUCUGACCGGUUCUUAAUCGAACCUUUCCUUCGGGACAGAAGUGACAGGUGG
rnacentral:rRNA from 1 species